AACCACACUAUCAAUGGAUGGAUUCACCCGUGAAAUGACACGGUUGUUUCACCUAGGACGAGGACAUGGCAAACUAUUACCAGCCAUCGCACAAAAUUAAUAGGAUGCCAUGUCCAUAUCCUAGAUAAAACAACCACGUCAUAUCAUGGGUGAAUCCAUUCAUCGAUAGAUAGUGUGGUU
rnacentral:pre_miRNA from 1 species